GUUCUAGAAAAGGGAGUGUUUGUUUUGAUGUUGCUAGAUGCGUCUGUUCUCUGUGGGUGUCCCUUGAUGAUUGUGGAAGCUGGAACUACAAUGGAUGCCGUUCAAAGAGCUGCUGUCUUCCAUACCAGAUCUUCCAACUUUGAAAAGUACACUUGAAGUCCGACUUCCAACUUGGAAAAUCAGGAUUAUACAUGAUGCAUUUGCAGAUUUUAGCCAAAAUGACAUUGCAUACAACAUUUCAUCAUGUUCAUGCAUUCCAUGAUUCAAAUCUAUGAUCUUGACAUUGCUUGACAUCGAGCCUGCAAGAAAAUAAGCACAUGUGUAAGUCCAGCACUAAAAAAUAGCAUUUCUUAGCAUCAAAUAGCAUUAUCAGCUUCAAAGACGGUAUUGUGCAUUACCUCUGAAGUGUCGGACAGCGAAAUCUUUAUGCUCAUAGGUCAGCGACAUCAAUAGGAAAAUCCCACAUCCAACUUUGAACAGAAUGCACUAUUGAAUUCUGUACAAGCAUCAAGUUAUAUUUUGCACACCCAGCCAUCUCAUCCCCUUCAUGCUUUGAUUUAUCCAUUGUAUGAAUGUUAGUUCAACAAGUGCCUUGAAUUCCAAGAACAAUGCUGUAAGAAGACACCCACCACACCCCCCCAAAAAAGGGAAAAUACCAUGAAUUCAUGUUGCCGCCAAACAUAGUUAUCAGACAGCCGCAGCGUGUUCUUUAUAAGCAAUAGAGCACACUAAGAAAUCAUUGAAACAGCAAUGAAAAUCUCGAUUAAGUGUUCUCUGCAGAACAGUAUGACUGUUUCUUUACCUGAACACUAUGUACAGAGAAGCACAGAGAGUGCUUUGAUGUGUGUAUCUGAU
ensembl:lncRNA